CCGUCUGCAAGAGAGCGGGGUUAGAGCCAGGCUGGCGGGCCCAGACCAGCUAUUAGGGCUGGAGCUAUCAGUGCCCCGACCCUGACGCCUCUCCCCCUUGCCAGUGCACCCCAGAACUUCGCUUUUCUUUCAUCUGUCUUCUCAGUGGUGUGUAGGGGGGUCCCAGCUCUGCUUGGUUACCGUGUUGCCGCGCCCACUGCCCCCAGAGCUCCCUUCCUUAUAUUACUUGACGCCUCAUCUUGCAUACCACCACCUCUGCCUCAUCCCACACACCUGCUUUUCCCUUCCCCAUCCUUCUACCUUCAAAAACCCUAACGCUGGGGCUCUGUUCCCCAAACGUCCAAGUCUUUCCGAGUAACUCCAGCCCUCCCAAGCAGGCAGGCAGCACCAUGGCUAAAUCGACUGGAGCCCACAACAAAGCGCUCCUCUGCGGCCUGGUGAAGGCGCUCAGUGGUCCUCGCCAAGCACCCAGAUAGCCUUCGCCUCAGCGCAGAGCCCGCGAGAAGGUUUUCCUGGUCUCCAGGCCUUGCUACUUCCUCGCCCCUCCUGGGCAAGCUAGGGAGAGUCUCCUCCCCACUGUGGCCCUGCACAGCUCGGAGAAACUGGCGACCAUUCCACCCUCCACUAGCCUACAAAGCUCCGCGUUCGGACGGAGGAGGCGGGCUGUUGCCAGAGUUCGGGUCCCUCGGCUGGGCGGGGCUGAGAGGGUGGAAAGCAGCACUACAGGUCAUGGCAAGGGCGAGCAGUCGCGCGCUUGCGGCCCUGGGAGAUGGGGCUGCGGAAGAAAGGCGAGCAGACUAAGCAGACUGAGCGCGCGGUCCCGGGCAAGAAGAGUUUACAGGACUGUUAUCCCUGAUGAAUAAUGAGCUAUAAGCACUCUUGGAAGUUUGUCAGUGGUCUUCACAUAGCUCCUCUCAGGAGAUACACAGAGAAGUUGAUCCACUUUCCAAGUUCCCAGAGCUCCUACGUGGCAGAGCCAGAAUUCAAAUGUGUUUAUCUGUCAAACUACAGGAUCCUGAGUUCUUAAGCAUACUGCUGGGGAAUAUAUAUUUGGGUCAGAGACUUGGAGGUUUCUGUACUCUAAAGAAGAAAUGAAUUAUAUAGGGCAGGUAGAGACUGUACUCUAUAAUCAAUCCCCAGCAGGCAGCGACUGUGCCCUAUAAUCAAUCCACAGCCUCUCACAUGGAGCAGCACCGUACCUGGGUUACUCCCAACAUCAUCUGUUAACUGCCACACUUCUUUCAGUGAGGCCGUGAGAUCCUUGGAUAAAAGGUAGCAUGUCUUUUUUAUAUUCGCAUCUUCAGAAUGUAGCACAGUGUCUGGAACCUAGGAAGUGUUAAAUAUACCAGGCAUGGCACUCAACACAAGCCAAGCCAACUCUUCUGGAGCAAGCAGUGAGAAGGAGAAGCUUUCUGUGCAGCUGGGUUUGCUUAGCUGGAGGUAAGCCUGGUACUGUUGUUGCCCUGAACCAGGAGACAGAAGCAUGUUUUCUCCAAGAAGAAAGUCAACGAAGAGAAAGCUACAGAAACUGCCCAGUCGGGUCCCUGAAUCUAGCUUGUUUGGCGCUCACAUCAGUAGCUCCCUUUUUAUUUCCAUUGUCCAAUAAAGUCCUGUUAUUUUUUGUGCCAAUUUGAGUUGAGCUUCUGUUAUUUGCCACCAAAAUAUGUCAACUAAUUCAGGAAUCUUUGGUGCAUGUGUUAUCUGAAUGGAAACACAGCUGAACCCUGAAGAAUCCAACUCUGCCUGCCUGUCUAAUUCUUGGAAACUUGCUCUAAAUGCUCUGAAUUUCUCUUUGAGCCUAUGGAGUCAUGAAUAUCUUCCCUGAAGGACUAGCCCACGCCUGGGCAGGGAGGAAACCAAGAUGCUAGGCUUGGAAAUAAUUAGCAUAGUACUAACAGGACUCAUUUCUCUGUUCUGUCAUCGAAUGGCAGCCCUAGGGACAACUGUUGCCAUGAAAGAUGGGCCCAAAACUGUCAUUAAAUUACAUACAUUGCCAUUGCUCCUGGUUAUUAAGUCUUUGGCAAAUCAAUUCUUUAUGGCCUUUUAAUCAGGCGCAGAUAAAUAAGGACAAGUAGCUUGGAGAACUUCCUUUAAAAAAGUUCAUGGAAACAGCUAUGAAUGUCCCAGUCCACAGAUUCAGGGAGCUAGGUGCCCAAGUCUCAGGAAGACAGGACCCUGACUUUCUCAGAGGAAUGCAAGAGGAUCUGUGAGACCAGAGGAGGGAAAAUGCAGACUAUCUUUAUCCCAUAACCACAGCUCACAGCCAAGACCAGUGCAGCGAGCAUGGAAUAGCAAGAUGGUUGUGGAUAAUUCCAGUUUCUUCAGUACAGGCAAUCAUGCAAGAAGGAAGUCAUCUGUGAUGUCAUCAAGUGUGCCCAACUUCCUCCUCUCUGAACCCCGUCUGGGCUGCACUCCCAGCUCCUGUGAAUUGUGGGCGGGGCCACAUGACUGUUUCUGCCCUAUGAGCUAGCGAGGAUUCCAUACAUGUCAUGUUCUGAUGGAUCUUUAAAGCUAGUAAUUCUUUGCUCUAUCCUGCCUUCAUAUCAAAACAGAGCUUCUACCAGCUGAGCCUGAAGGUAUUGGGAAUGUUUGUUACUGUUUGUUACUGUUUGACUCAGUCUACCCUGAUCAAUGAAGGAAAUACAGCCAUAGGUAUAGAGAUGCCAUAAAGCCCUUGCGCAUGUGGAAAGUUAGUUUUCCUUGUGAUUUGCCUGCUCUGUUCUUUUCAGUUCUUAGAAAUUCUUGGUUCCUUGGAGAGAUUUCAGGGGUCCUCACACUACUGAGGUUGGCAAAUUGGGAGCAGAGAACCAUGGUUUUUAGCUUAGCACCUUCAGAAAGUAAGGAAUAGUUGGUAUGAAGGUCAGCAUGCUAAUUGUACUUCCCACUGAGUUAUCUUCUAGGUACUCAAACAGUGCUUACAGGAGCUCCAAAGUCACUCAGAAACCAUAGGGGGGACAUUUCGUACAGCUCUGAGUAUCAAGGGCAAUCCCUUCCCUGGUAUUCAAUGCCAGCAAAAAAAGAGAAACUACACAAGUAGUCAUUAGAGGAAAGUACUGUUAUUAAGAUAAUAAAACUAAUCAGUAGAACACAGAGAGAUUUGGGUGGGCAGGGAUGUUGCAAAUUUCUGUCUUGGGAAGACGUCUCUUAGGAAGCAAUAUGAUAUUGAUUUGGAAUUUGGAGGAUGGGAGGAAGCCAACCAAAGGGAAAAGGAUACUGGGUAGAGAAAAGAGCCAAAGUGAGUAUUGGUCAUGUGAAUUAUGUUGAAUGUAGUCAGUUAAUGGACACUAAAUGAGUACCUACUGUGUAUUAAGCUGUAUACCAGUUAUAGAGAGAAAGACUGUGGCUCUCAAUGGGUCCGGUGAAGUCAGAGGCUGCUCAGAUCCUGACACAAUCACCCUUAGCCAUGUUGGUUGGCCUGCCAAACACCAUCCAUGCCUCAUAUAGCUAAUUCUUGCAGAGCCCCAGCAAGUUGCACUGACCUUUGACCCUGCCAGGUGAAAGACAUAAAAGGACUGAAAGGAAUGGCGUGCUGUAGGUUGUGAGCCAUCCCAAGUCCAUGUGUUUGGAGGGCCAAAUUUCUUUUUUAUUUCGAAGAUAGUAAAAUACAACAGAACAAAAUGAAACAAAGCCAGUUGAGACAGACACAGCAGGUUACCAGGAUAAUAGUAAUAGGUACCAUAGUAUAUCUCAUUAUCUUCACAAUCAUUGUUCUUAGAAAGCAGCUAUAGCAAAAUCAAACAAAAUACAGAACAUUACACAACUUAUCAAAACAGAAUACUGAAUAGAGCAAUAUCAUUAAUCAGAACACAGCAAAACAGUGGUAACAAUAUUUGCCUUCAAAGAGAGGUUAGAAGGAAAUCCCCCUUAUCUCCUGCAUUGCAUAUGGUCAACCUCCCAAGAGAUGCUCAGAUCUCUGGCUCCCAUUUGCUAAUAGGGGUUGGGGAUAGGAUGUUUGAUUUUCAGCCCGCAUGCUGGUAGGCUCACAGCCACGUACCAGGGAGACGAGCUGGUUGCUUGGUUUUCCAGAACCCCAGGUUCCAACAUGGUGCAGAUUUCAAGAGACACUGGGUGGUUCUCGCCCUGGGGUGGCUGCAGCUUGCCCAAACCACAGCUGCUUACCAGGAAGGCAAGCUAGUUGCUUGGUUUCCCAGUACCCCAAGUUCUAACAUGGCAUGAUUCCUGGGAGACACUGGGUGGUUCUCACCCUGGAGCAGCUGCAGCUUAUCUGAGCCGCAGUCACUUACCAGGGAGGCAAGCUGGUUGCUCCCCCAAUUUCUUCAGGAACACAAUCAGGUGGACUCAUGCCCAGAGGUUCUGCAAGGGUCUCUUGGGACACUAUUAUGCUCAAAAGUGGGCCUUUCCUGCCGGGGGAGCAAUGAUGGUAAGGGCAGGGGAAAGAAAGUACAAAGGAAGGACUGAAGUUAUGAGGUUCCAGAAACUGUCCUGACUUGAUAGUCUGCCUGAUAUUCCUUUUUGGUGUCCUAACGGGAAUCCCCCUACAACCUAUCAUGAUUCCUGGCUCUCAUUGUGAAGCAUGACCAAAAAAAUAGAGAGUUUAAAUUUUAAAAAUGUAUUACAGUAAGGGAAGCAUUACUAUGGGUCCUUGUCAAAACACUGUCCUUUGCUUCAAAUAUAUUUAUCCCAAUGCUCUUGCCACUUUCUGAAGCAGUUCUGGAAGCCCUCUUUCAAGCGGGUCUUUAUUUGUGCUGUCAUGGCUGCCUCCAUGACCUGAGUGAUUCAAAAUACUUACUUGUCAUGGUCAUUUUGACCUUGGAGGUAAUCCAGAAGUUGUACAGUACUAGAUCCAGUGAAUAAGGUAGAUGAAGACACAUCAUUUUAUUUGAUGACAGCAGCAGGAUUUACCUUGUUUAUGACCAUACCUGAUAAAAAGACACUCAGGAAAGAGAAUUUCCAGAGUUCUUGAAAAAACAGCAAGACCAAUGGGAUAAGCGUAUUUAAUGUGAGGGAGAGUAUUUUGAGGAAGGACUAAUGGCAAUGUGUCUUUUACUAUAAUAUUUUCUUUAAAAAAAUUUAAACGUAACUAUACAGCUCAAUAAUGCCUCAUAGCUUUCCUUAUAAGUACUGGAUACUUCAUUGUUUUUAUUUUUAUUUUUAUUUUUUGGUUACCAGAGAUCAAAUUCAUGACCUUGCACUUGCUGGGCAGGCCCUUAUGCCACUGAGCUAAAUCCUUAGCCCUGGACAAUUCAUUGCAAUGCAUCACUUAGAGGUAAAAAUACUCUUUAUUCUCCACUGUUAACACUAUUAGUCAUGUCAACAUACGUUAAGUUUUGCAAACACACAUGGGGUUCUUGUCUCCUUGAAGAGCAUAAAGGGCUGAAUCAUUCCUCUGGUCUUUCUACUUGGAAUGGAGGGCUUGGUGGGUGGCACCAGGCCUCCUGCUUUUGGCUUGCUUGAGUUUUCUGGAGAGAAGUGAAUGCUGAGUGACUCCUCUCUGUCAUACCACCCUCUCAGAGGGGCAGAGCCAGGGGCCACUGAUAGUAGUAACUGAGGCCUGAAACACACUGUCCUCCUUGUUCAUCUCCCUUCAGACUCUGCAGCCACCAGCACCAACCACCAGCCACCAGCCUAGAGAAAGGAGGGGUGCUGAGAAGGAAGAAUAGGAACAGAGAGCAAAUGGCCCUGGUUAGGGAGGGCAGCAUAUGGGAUUCCUAUAGGUUUAGGUGCACUAUCAGGAGAGAGCAGCAAGAAAUAUCAAUUUGGGGCAGACUGGGUUGAGAAAGGACAACUCCAUCUGAGAAAUAGCCCCUGUGCCACGGACAGGCUCUGAAACUUCAUCUUCAGAAGAGCCAUCUUUAGUUUGGGCUCCUUUUCUUCUCUUUCCCAAUGCUGCACAAUCCUCUUGCAGACCCAUGACCUCCCACCUUGGGGAGGGACCCAUUACCUGAAUCUCUUUUUACCCCUCACUGUGGGCAGAUCUAACAAAUGACACUCAGAGUCCAGAACCUCAUGGAGCAUAGAGAUGGGUCAGGACCAGGGGAGCUGCAGGUGGGAAUGGGAUUUAGCUGUUGUAGAGACCACGAUGACCACAUUUGCCUUUGCCUGGAUGCCCUCCAUAGCCAGUGUCACAUGACCUGGCUAAUGCCACAUCUUACAGAUGGGAAGCAAACCAGCUCAGAAGGAAUCUUGGGAGUUUCAGUUCCAUAUGCCAAGAAAAAUACAAUUCCUAACCUCUUUCUGUCACAUUGUUCCUUUUUACAACUAGCCCUCCACACACUCCACCAGGGAGAGUCUGGGGCUGGGUUAAUCACUUUGUCUUUCUGUCAGGUACUACUCUAUGGUAAAUAAGUGGGAUUGUUUGCCAAAGACCUCAGCCCCACUGCAGCAGCUUGUGGAGCUGUUCUAAGGAAUGUAAUGUGUCUGUGUUCAUUGCUGCAGCAUUUGGUUUUUCUGGCAUUGGAACUGAGCAAGUGAUAUGAAAUGCAAUAAAGUUGCAUCCAAACACACCAAGGGAACCUAAAAACAGCUCAGCUUGAAAAUGUGCUGAGGAAGUCAGCUUCCAAGCCUGCUCAAACUCCUUGGAAUUAAUCGGAUUUCCAAGAGCAUCUGCUUUGGCAUGUUGUCCAUUUUGCAUUUAAAUUUUGUAAAAUGACAGCUGUUGAGAGACCAGAAAUAUUGGUAGAUGCAAGUCUGUGGAAAUGACACUCCAGUGGCAACUCCAUGUUAAGUCAGAUGUCGUCAUAGGAGACAUCGAACUAAUACUUGCUGAAGAAGAUUUCAUUAGGUGGGUCGCUGCCUGCUAUGGAUCAGCUGGGUGGUUUCUGGGUGAUCUGUGCCCUUAUGCUUGAUGUUCCAAAAUUGCAUGCAAUAAAAUCUCAGAAAACACAUAUGGACAGGAAUAGAAGCUGCAGGGCCAUGGUUUUAGGGGACACGCAGAUAUGCAUGCUAAUAGCAGCUAGACUGUUGGUGGUGAUUGGCAUGCAGGGUUUAUCUCCAACCUCAGCUGUAUGUCUUGGCCAGGGGUAUCUUCAACCUAUCCUCCAGCCAUCAUCAUCCUUAUCGUGCUCUCCAGAUUUCCUGGUUGCCACUUGUGUCUUGACCAUGAUGGGCUCUGACUCACCUGCUCCUUUUGCACCUGCUAUUUCCUCUGCCCAGAUUGUACCUCUACCCUUUAGAGGGCUUAAUCUUUCAUUCUUCCAAUCUUUACUUGAUGUCAAUUCCUCAGAGAUGCCCUCCCUCCCCAUGAUGUCUAAAGGAGUCCCAGACUUCUCUAUCUCUGUUGGUCGGCAUUCCAUUGUUGUGACAAAAUACCUGAGAAAAACAACAUAAGGGAAGAAAGGUUUAUUUUGGCUCAUGGUUUCAGUUCAUGGUAACUUGGCUGUGCUACUUCUGGGCCUGUGAUGCAAUAGAUCAUUGAGGAGAGGGAGGAGGAGGAGAAAGAAAGGUAGGAGGAGGGGAGAGAAGGAGAGAUAUUCCUAAAUCUUCCACCACUUUCUAAUAAUGCAUGAGCUAUGAAAUUGUCAGUGGGUUAAUCUACUGUUGAAUUUAGAGUCCUCAGGAUCCAAUCACUUCCCCAAAGUCCUACCUCUGGACAAUUUCUGGGACUAAGCCUUCAACAUGUCCAUUUUGGGUCAUUUAUUAUCCAAACCAUAACAUUAUUCUUCUAUCUGCCUACUUUUUCUUGCACUGAAUUUGUCUUUAUUACAAUUACAACUGUUGGUUGCCAAUUUGUGUAUCAUACACUGUUUCUGUUAGAAUCCAGGCUCUGAGAUGCAGUCCCUUCUACCUCUGUGGGCAUCUGUCUAAUGAGAAGGAGUGGACCAGGCUGCUAUUAUCUGGAAGCUGGACUAGGAACCUUGCAGGGUCAAAGAGUGUAGGGGCCAGGUCUGGACUGAAGAGAACUUGGGAUUAGGGUUUAUCACUGUUUUGUCUGAUAAAAUCUGAAGGCAGCAAGGUGUGUUGUCACAUGUCUGUAAUUCCAUCACUCUGGAAGGCUAAGGCUGGAGAAUUGUGAGUUCCAGUGUAGUGACUUAGUGAUUCCCUGUCUCAAAAUUUAAAAAAGUAAAAAAGGACUGAUGUUGUAACUCCAUGCAAAAGGCCUGGAGUUCUAUCCCCAAUAAUCUGAUUGCCCAAAAAUCUUGAAAGGAAUUGUGCUCAAGGCCACUGGGUGUUUCAGUUUUACCCUUGCAUUUCCUAAAAGAAUUCAAGUGGAAUAUAAAAGAACUUAAAAAUUAUUGACAGUAAAGUAUUUUUAAUAUUUUAGGGGAAAAUAUAUUAACAAAAAUUUUAUAUUGAAUUUUAUCAAGCUAACUCUUUGAGGUUUAUUAAGAAAAAGCUUUAUUCAAGGGAAAGACUAAGGCCACAAUCUGAUCCACUGACUUUUUUUUAACAUAAAGUUUUAUUGGAACACAGUCAUGCUUGUUAGUUUUCAUAUGAACUGUGGCUGCUUCCACGUUACAAUUGAAGAGCUAAGUAGUUGUGACAGUGACUAUAUUGCUUGAAAGACAGAAAUACCAUUUGAACCUUAAAGAAAAAGCAGAUAGCAAGUAAUUGGAAAAAAUCACUGAAAUCUAUGAGGCUUAUUUUGGUGCUGAGUGAGGCCACACCUUGCAGUGCGUUAGCAGAGAUGAGCUUGCAGCCUGAGCUCGUUGCCCCUCCAAACCUUGGGUCUUGGCUGGCUUGCUGGGGCCAUGUUUUAUCCUCCUCCACAUAGUUGUAGUUCCCUUUCUAAGGAUGCAAAUCCUCCCUCUGGCCUGUUAAAAGCCAAGCUAGAAGUAAGACUAGUUCCCCAACCUGAGGCAGGAUAGAUUUACUAGGUGUUGAAGAUAGGGAUAUCCUCUAACUAAGGAAAAGCAAACUCAAAAGACCUGUGGUGUUCAAGAGUGUGAACACCAUGCUAUGACUGGACCAAGGCCAAGGACAGGCCACUCCAAGGUGAACUGUUUAUUUUUAAAAACUUGUUUGUUUUGGAAAACUGCGGCUCAAAAACAACUCAGUGAUUGACAAUGCCAAACAAUGACAACAAAGCAAUCAUUUCCAUAUUCAGAGAGACCACUUCUCCCAAAGAAAAUUCCUGGUCCCCAGGGAAAAAGCUAAGAUAGGUCUCAAGGGGACUGGAGGGGAAUGAAGAGGCCACUGUAAUUAAGGCAAGGUGGCUGAGAUUAGCUGAAUGCCCAUAGCCUUAUGUGUGAAUGGUAAUUAUGCUUGGAGCAAAGAGCUGUUUGAAAGAAUGACAUAAUAAAGCUCCCAAACUGGUCGGUGUAAUUUCCCCUGACACUCAGCAUGCAUGAAUAAAAUACACAGUCAAACAGAAGAGUAAUCAGAUUUGAAAUAUUCCUUUAAUAAUAUGUUUGCCAGAUCAAAUAUUAAAAAUAGAAGAUAGAGAAAAGAAGCAACUGUCCCUCGUGGUAUCAGUUCCAUAAAUAUUGCUUCAUUAAGCUGUCUGGGUCGGUUCAAAGAGAUGGAUUUUCAAAUGUGGCCAACGUUCCAGACUGCUUGUUGCGAUGAAGUGGAAGACUUGAUCUGGGCUGCGAGCAUCACCUCACCUCACCAUGCUGUGCCUGCCGCUGUGUUGAGGGGCCAUCAGUUAACAGCCAGAGCUGGCCUGACAUCUGCCCAAAGGACAUGUGUUUAUUUAUUUGGAGUCAAGCCUCUCCCUUCGGUGUACCAGUGGCUUCCAUCCCAGCCAAACAGCAGGGAAUUAAUAAUGAUGGCAUUUGACUUUCCUAAGACCUUCCCUUGGUAAAAAAGCUUGCAUUUAUCCUACUGGCAUUUCUAUGAGGUGGGGUGGGGGAUGCAGUAUGUAGAAAAUAUGCCCUCCUGCCAACCCAGGUCUGCAGUUUAUAAGGAGGACUUCAGGUACCAAGUUUUGAUAGACUGGUAUACAAAGGGACUGAGAAACUCUUAAUUCCUUGAAGAAAGCCAGUAAUACAUUUAGAGUAUUGAGCUUUAUCUCAGUUUAAGGCCAAAGAUAUCUACAAUUGGGCCCAAGGUUCUAUACUAAAGAGGAAGAUGAAUAACUGCUUAAAAUCAAUGAUCAAAAUUAAUCCUUUGAAUAAGAGCAAGAAGCACUACCUUGAUUCAGGCAUAGAUCUGUCAACAAGUGUAAACAUACUGGAUUUCUACAAGAAUGUUUGAGUUUUAUGUCAGGGAUCCAGAAUUAGUCAACUCUCAGAGAUGCAGAGGUAAGUAACUCUGACUGAUGCUAAGGCUUCACUGACAUAAAGAACAUUCAUUCUUGAGUUCACGAAAUCUUUGGUAUCACCUUCCUCUGUCUAUUGUCAAAAUAUUGAGUUUGGGAAAGAGCUCAGAAGAAAAUUAAAGGGCUAAAUUUAGUCAAAUCUUGUUUGAUCAUUUAAGGUCAAAGAGUCAAUGUGAGUGGAUAUUAUGCAUUUUAAAGAGAAAUUAUUUUUGUAAAUAUGUGAUACUGUCUAUUAGAUGUAGGUGUCUUGGUGACUCGAUGAAUUUUAGGAUGAAUUAGACCAUAACAAAAUAAUUCAGAUUGGUGGGGCAGGUUGCUGGGGUCAGGCCCACGGUUUCACUGAGCUUCGCUGAUUCCUUUUGUUCAUAGAUGUGCUGCAGGCUCAUGGGCAGUCAACACUGUGCUUUUUAUCUGCUUCUAUAUCCAGGUUACUGAAAUACUUCCUGACUCAUACGUUGCUUCCCCAGUUGCUUUCUUUUCCUGCUCUAGGAUCCUGAAAUUACAAGAAGGAAGGUGGGAUUAGAGACCAGGUAACUGAUGCUGGUAAAUGAUGACCCCCCUCCCUCUCCCCUUCUCUACACCUUGGUAACACUUCCCAUCCAGGGCCACUUAAGUCUCUGGUCAACCUCUCACAGAACUGUACUUUGUGCAACUAUGUCAUCAUCAGUUUUGCCUCUCGGGGGAGAGCUUAUCAGUUUGGUGGGAUGCCUAGCAAUCCACUGCUGUGGAUAGAUGUGCUUCUGGCACGAGGGACAUGCUGUUCUACCCCACUGCCCCCAGCGAGCUCAGUCCCGCCUGCUGUUAUUUAUUAGAAGGGUUUCUCUGAUGGUGCCAUAUGCUCUCUACUGUGGCAGCAGAUGCUAUCAUUGCCCCUCCUACAUCCUCUUUGGCACAGAGCAUUCACACACACCAUGGCUCUGACAGCAAGCACCAGGAUUCUCCACCUGAGUCCAUUCUGUGGCUGCAAAAUUGUGCUUUGCUCCCUGCACACAGGGCAACCAGUCCUAAUGCCAGUGCCAGCAGAAGUUGGUGGGUAAAAACCCCAGCAUCUUUGCUCCUUCUGUGAAACCAUUCUGAGGUGUGAUCUGCAGUCUCUCAGUGGCACCCAGCAGGACUGAGCUCCAGUUGCCCACAGCAGCAGAAAGCUCACUAGUGCACCGUCUACUGUGUGCUUUUGCUUCCCUGUCUCACUCACCACUCUGUUAUCUGUGGUUGGUGUGAGCAUCUCCUGAUACAUGUCUUACUCAGGAACCCGUGUUGCAGGCUCUACCUGUGGGGAUUCCAGGUAAAGUCACAGGUAUCAUGAAGACUUUGCACAGACCUAUUCCAAGGACCCUUAUUAACAUGGUGAAGGUACUGUGCUUGGAUUGCAAAGUCAUGAUCACCAAUGCGUAGGUGUGACUCAUUCUUUAGGGCUCAUUUAUGGUGUUUUCUCCUCCAGGAAGCUUUCUUGCAUGGUGCACUCUCUUUGCAGGAGCUGUUGGGUGUCCAGGAUGUUGUGCUGUGAUGAGACAAAAAUCUGCCCUUGAGAAAUCUAAACUGUGAUUUCAUUUGGUUCACUUGGUGCUCUGAGCUGGCCAGGAGGAGACUGUGUAUCCCUGUGGUUUACCUCUGCUGCGGACACUGGCUGCUUGUGUGCUCCCCUGAGGCUCUUCUCUCUCCUUUGUUCAUUGGCUCCAAGAUUUGUGAGGAGAGAGCGGUGUGCAGAGUGCUGGUGGGUCCCUUUAUUUUUCUGCCUCUGUGACCCUUAACCAUGAUACGGCAAUUUGACUGGAUGAAGAUACCUAGCAGAUUAGUGAAACAUACUUCAGGACGUUUUAUGCAAAGUUUUCAGAGAUAACUGGCAUGUUGGACAACAAACUGAGGGGGAAGACCAAACCUGAUUGCAGGUGACACAAUUCAAUAGGCUUGAAUCCUGGCUAGGAUGAAAAGGGAUGCAGGAGGAAGGCAGCCUGUGUUUGUAAAACUCUGCUCUGCUUGGGGCAUUUUCUGCUACUCCUGUCACCUGGGGACUCCAGCUUCUUCAGCCUCUCACUGCAUAUGCACACAGCGGCUCUCUAGGGAGCUCCUGAGCCUUCAUUCUUGGAGUGCUGUUGCAUCCUUGAUCCCAACUUCUUGGGCUUAGCAGCCACUGGAUUGCUCUUCAGUGAGGAAACAGGCAUUGUAUGAUCUCUCAAAUCUGAUUUGUUAAACGUACCCAAUAAAGAUCCUUGUGUCAUUUUUUUUCUGUAAAAUGUUCCUUUUGUUCCUCUAGAGAACCCCAACCAAUGCAAUCUCCUAGAACACUGAUGAUAAGGAAUAAAGCAUGUUUUUAUUUUAUUAAUAUGUAAUGCACAAUUUGAUAUUAAUCACUUCAUUAAAGUCAUUUUAAUGUGGGAGUCUA